GGGUUUUUCUCUGUGAGUCCAGGUCUUUGGAUACAGGGGCUUGCUACAUAUUUCUUGGAUCUAUGUACCGUUGUAGGGAUGCACCAAUCCAGAGCUUGGAAGAAGUGAUGCUUCAGUGUCAACCAACUCUCUCUGGCCCCCUGUCCUUCCAAUGCUCAGCUAGACAUUGGUGUCUAAUCUUUUUGAUUGAACUUUCCUUGGGCUGCACUGAUUGAAGAGGAUUCGUCUUGGGCUGCAUAUGUGUAGGAUGCACCGAAGCUGGAAUCUUUCCACGGAAACUGCAAAAUACAAAGAGUGCAAUAGCAUUACUUGAUGGAGCAAAUUCUCAGUUACAAAACACUGUUUUUCAACAUGGUGAUCACCAUUAGGUAUGCAUUCUUGCCAUCAAUAAUGAGACCCUGCAUGCAGUGCUUGAAGGAAGUUGAACCAGCAGAGAUGACUCACUGUUGCCACUGACACCACUGAAAUGUACUACACACCACCUCACCGUGUUGACAUCUACUGGCUGGUCCCCAUAAGCAUUCAGCAAGUCUCCGUGAAUGUCAGUAGGGGCAAUUUUUUCCACAUGGAGGAAUUCAGGUCCACAGCUUUGCCUCAUACUUACUUUUAUGUCAAACACCACUUUCUUAGACUGCACCUCUGCUGUUAUCUGUUACUUUUUUUUUUUUUUUGCUGUAAGUAAUGGAAUAUUGGUGGGAAGGUUCCCACCAUCUCAGAGUUCUAAGGGAAUUAGCUGAUGUAGUUGCUAAGCCACUCUCAAUGAUACUUGAAGUUGUGGCAAUCAGGUGGAGUUACGGGUGACUGGAAAAAAAGGUAACAUCUUCAUUUUUAAGAAGGGUAAAAAUGAUGAUGCUGGGGAGUACCAUC
ensembl:lncRNA